GACGAACGCUGGCGGCGUGCUUAACACAUGCAAGUCGUACGGUAAGGCCCUUUCGGGGGUACACGAGUGGCGAACGGGUGAGUAACACGUGAGUAACCUGCCCACAACUUUGGGAUAACGCUAGGAAACUGGUGCUAAUACUGGAUAUGUGCUCCUGCUGCAUGGUGGGGGUUGGAAAGCUCCGGCGGUUGUGGAUGGACUCGCGGCCUAUCAGCUUGUUGGUGGGGUAGUGGCCUACCAAGGCGGCGACGGGUAGCCGGCCUGAGAGGGUGACCGGCCACAUUGGGACUGAGAUACGGCCCAGCCUCCUACGGGAGGCAGCAGUGGGGAAUAUUGCACAAUGGGCGCAAGCCUGAUGCAGCAACGCCGCGUGCGGGAUGACGGCCUUCGGGUUGUAAACCGCUUUCAGCAGGGACGAAGCUUUUUGUGACGGUACCUGCAGAAGAAGCACCGGCUAACUACGUG
rnacentral:rRNA from 1 species